GAUGAACGCUGGCGGCGUGCCUAAUACAUGCAAGUCGAGCGAACGGACGAGAAGCUUGCUUCUCUGAUGUUAGCGGCGGACGGGUGAGUAACACGUGGAUAACCUACCUAUAAGACUGGGAUAACUUCGGGAAACCGGAGCUAAUACCGGAUAAUAUUUUGAACCGCAUGGUUCAAAAGUGAAAGACGGUCUUGCUGUCACUUAUAGAUGGAUCCGCGCUGCAUUAGCUAGUUGGUAAGGUAACGGCUUACCAAGGCAACGAUGCAUAGCCGACCUGAGAGGGUGAUCGGCCACACUGGAACUGAGACACGGUCCAGACUCCUACGGGAGGCAGCAGUAGGGAAUCUUCCGCAAUGGGCGAAAGCCUGACGGAGCAACGCCGCGUGAGUGAUGAAGGUCUUCGGAUCGUAAAACUCUGUUAUUAGGGAAGAACAUAUGUGUAAGUAACUGUGCACAUCUUGACGGUACCUAAUCAGAAAGCAACGGCUGACUACGUG
rnacentral:rRNA from 1 species